GACGAACGCUGGCGGCGUGCUUAACACAUGCAAGUCGAGCGGUAAGGCCCUUUCGGGGGUACACGAGCGGCGAACGGGUGAGUAACACGUGGGUGACCCGCCCUCAGCUCUGGGGAUAAGCCCGGGAAACCGGGUCUAAUACUGGAUAUGACUCCAUGACGCAUGUUGUGGGGUGGAAAGCCUUGUGCGGCUGAGGAUGGGCCCGCGGCCUAUCAGCUUGUUGGUGGGGUGANGGCCUACCAAGGCGACGACGGGUAGCCGGCCUGAGA
rnacentral:rRNA from 1 species